rnacentral:misc_RNA from 1 species
GGAAAAAUUAAUGCUGUGGAGAAAAUGGCUGAAGAGGCAAGGCUUGAAUUAGAAAAGUUAAGAGCUGAAAGGGAAGCAGAUAAUAUUACCCUGAUGAGGGAGCGGGCUGCUAUUGAAGCAGAAAUGGAAGUUCUUUCAAGGUUAAGAAGUGAAGUGGAGGAACAGUUGCAAAGCCUUCUGAGUAGCAAGGCGGAGAUAUCAUAUGAAAGGGAAAGGAUUAGCAAACUUCAAAAAGAAGCAGAAAGCGAAAAGCAGGAGAUUUCCCGGUUACAGUAUGAGCUGGAGGUUGAGCGAAAAGCCUUGUCCAUGGCCAGGGCUUGGGCAGAGGACGAAGCAAAAAGAGCAAGAGAACAUGCAAGAGCCAUUGAAGAAGCUAGAGAUCGUUGGGAGAGGCAUGGCAUCAAAGUAGUAGUGGACAGUGAUCUUCGCAAAGAGAGUUCUGCUGAUGUUACAUGGCUUGCUGCAGCAAAGCAGUUCUCUGUUGAAGGAACUGUUAGCAGGGCUGAAAAAUUGGUGGGCGAGCUCAAGCUAAUGGCAGGCAAUGUAAAUGAGAAAUCUAAGGAGGUGAUUCAUAAGAUUAUACAGAAAAUACUCAUCUUAAUUUCACUUUUGAAGGAGUGGGCUUGAAGGCAAGUGCACAAGCGAAGGAACUUAAAGAUGCCACUAUCUCGAAGGCAAAGGGAUCAAUACAAGAAUUGCAGAAAAACACAUCGGAAUUUAGUUUAGCCAUCAAAGAAAGGGCAACCGGGUCAAUACAAGGGUUGCAGCAAAGCACUGCAGAGUUUAGUGUGGCUAUGAAGGAAGGUGCAAAGCGGGUUGCAGAAGAUUGCAGGGAAAGCGUAGAGAAACUUACUCAUAAGUUCAAAUCAUGAAUGUCUACUGUAUUAUUACUUUCCUAUUGCACCAAUAAUAAAUUUUGCCCGCAAAUGCAGUUGCUGCUGAGAACGUAAUCCUCAUUGUAUUACUUUCCUGAGUUUCCAUCCUUAUUUUUGAAAAGUACUCACUGGUUCCGACGCUC